rnacentral:pre_miRNA from 1 species
GUCUAUUUAGAGUUGAAACGUGGCAUGAAUUGAGUCCCAUAAGUGCUAAUUUCAAUUAAUUUCAACUCUAAUUCAUGCCACGUUUCAACUCUAAAUAGGUCA